CAGACACCUUGAGUUGAGAUGACACAAAAUGACCCUAAAGGGAAUUUCAAAAGCAAUGAGUGUUUUCAAACUUUGACUGAAACUAAGCAUAUCUGUAGCAUUGCCAUUUUCACAAGUGUUAUUCCAUUUGUUUGUCAAUAUGUCUCUGUUUUAACUUAUUUAAUGCAUAAUGCAUGAGUCAAAAUGCCGAGAAACCUGAAAUGCAUGUUGUAAUUGCUGUGUUAUUGCAUUUUCAAAACAUUUUUACAACAUUGACUGGUUUGCCCAUAUUUGUUGCACUAAUCUGAAUAACGUGAAGGUCAGCAUGAAAUACCAUCCAAAACCCAUUUAACUUCUGAUGCAUUUUUAGGGAAACAAGGAAUUCAAGAAACGUUUGUAUAUUUGUUUAUAAUCGGAUUAAUGGCACAGUUGGACUGAAAAGAGUUCAUGUAAACACCUCAAUUGAUCUGAUUGAGCUUGAUCUGAAUGGAAUAAUAGACAUGAAAUAAUCCGACUAACAGGAAAAAAAUAGGCUUGUAAAUGCUUGAAUUCAACUAUAUGCUCAAUCUGAGUAAAAAAUACCUUUUUGCACAUGCACAAUGAUAGGCCUACAUGAAAUGCACAUGUAAAUGAAUAUGUAAAUCCUAUUGCAACAUUUAUGGUUCAUGUAAACAGAAUUUUCAGAAUCUGAAAUCAGAUUGGAUUCGUUCUGACUGAUGAAAAUCAGUGCAUGUAAACACACCAAAUGAGAAAAAAAAAAUGUCAUGCAACUUGAUUUGAUCAGUUUUUAUUGAUUUGAUCAUAAAAAGAGGAAAGUAAAAGAAUAGCAUGCAGUAAUGAAUCACUUACAGUAAGAAAGUUUAUGAGGCUCAUUUUGAUUUCAUGCUGACUUUCAUAAAACAUUUUAACAAUAACUUUGAAAGGUUCGGUCUUAUUUCAUUGUGCAGCUCUAAAUAAACAAUGACAGACCUGGAAGGCAUGUCUGUAAAAACACGUCUUAAGCAUAGUGUUGGAAAUUUCCACGCUCGUGAAUUAUAUAUUUGCAUACCAGACAAAAGACUCUCAUGUUCCUUGGAGUCGGUGUGAAAGGCUUCAUGGGGAUUUUACAGUCUGCAGCUAUGAGGAAGUGUAUUAGGUGCUGCGCAAUACCUCAGAAACACUGACAAAAGCACGUUGUUAUGGAGGAAACAAUCAUAUAAUUGCAAGUUGAAGUCACUGCAGUAAUUCAGUCAUGUUGCAGUAAUUGCAGUAAUUUCUGUCAUUUUGGGGAAAGAAAAUCAGGGAAAACAACACUAGUCUAAAUCUUCCAUAAUCUUAUGGCAUGUUUUACAGAUGCUUGAUCCCCAAACAUGUCAAUUAUGUUAUAUAAAUAAUGUACUGGUCAUCUCAUAUUGGACUGGCAGUGUAUUGAUUUUAUUGGCAUGGUAAAAAAAAAAAAAAAAAAUCUUUUUUUUUUAAUAUCUGUGUUCUUUCACUUUAAUUUUUGAUGAGUCAUUGUGAAUAUUACAGUAUAUUGGUUCUCUACUGUAAGGUUUUUUAUAGUAAAUUAUGCUUAGUUUUGCCUGAAACACCACCUGUUUUGCAGCACAGAUCUCGUCCACAUUUAAAGACUGUACAGAGAGCAAACAAUGCAAAGGUCAGAGUCAUUUUCAUCGCACACUCAUAAACUGUUCACAGUGAUAAUAUGAGAAAAUUAUUAGCUAAAGGUGACAAAGUUCGUCUGUUGUUGCGUGACAAAACAGGUGACCUUUCACCUGGAAAACAGAAGGAAAAGUAUAUGCACUGCUGUUCAAAAGUUUGGGUUACAUAAGAUUUUUAAUAUUUUAUAUAACAAGGCUUUUAAUAUUUUAUAACAAGGCUGUAUAUAUUUGAUCAAAAAUGCAGAAAAAAAUAAUGCAAUUGUGAAAUAUUAUUGCAGUUUGAAAUAAUGGUUUUCUGUUUUAAUAUACUUUAAAAUAUAAUUUAUUUCUAUGAUGUAAAGCUGAAUUUUGAGCAUCAGUCUUCAGUGUCACAUGAUCCUUCAGAAAUCAUUCUAAUGUGCUGAUUUGCUGUUCAAGAAACUACUCUGAUUAUUAUCGAUGUUGGAAACAUUGACAUUUUUGACAUUGUUACUGUAAUGUCUCCAGACUUGUUUUGGAUUCUCAUUAGAUUCUCAAUCAAGUGAAAGUUGAAGUAAAUGUAGUAAUAAAACUGUAAUCAUU
ensembl:lncRNA